rnacentral:lncRNA from 1 species
GCCCUCCCGCCUGGCUCUCGCCUCGGCCUGCGGCCGGGAUCCUCCGCCCGGGUCGCGCAGCGGAGGCCGAGGGCUGGGACGGGCGGCUGGGAAGUGGGAAAGGGAGCUCCUUUUGUCUUCUCUUCCCAUCCCCCAGGUUUGGGAAAGUUUUCCUUUUGGGAAAGCCCCUCUCUUCAGCCUGCUGGCGGGUGUCGGAUUGGUUAGCGACCACCGGCCCCCGCCUCCCCCAACAGGAUUCUCCUUUGGGCCACAGGUCUUCCGGAAGUUGCCAAACCCCGGUAGCGGCAGCGUCCGGCUGGGGGCUUUAUUAGGGGGCACCGGGGUCUGCUUUCCGACUCCCUUCCGACUCCGCGCCUGCGCAGGAAGCGAUUUGGGGAGUGUUGUGAAUUCCGAGGGCUCCACACUUAAGAGGUUGUACACUCACCUGUCUACCUGGACUCCAAUUUCCAUAUUUCCAGCCACUUGAGGACUGAGAGGUGGAUGAUAAACCCUGUCAUAGUGGAGCAAGUUCAGGUGUUUAACCGCUGUUAUGGGGGAUCUGCCUUUUCUCCCUCUUCUUUCUUACUUCCAUAAGUAUGUAUGUGCAGAGAUUGAAAAAUAACCUUGAGAGAGUCCAUCCAUCUAACUCCAGGGAGUCGUGCUCUGUCACCCAGGCUGGAGUGUAGUGGCGCGAUCUCUGCUCUGCUCAUUGCAACCUCUGCCUCCCUGGUUCAAGCAAUUCUUCUGCCUCAGCCUCCCAAGUAGCUUGGAUUACAGGCGCCCGCCACCACACCCAGCUAAUUUUUGUAUUUUUAGUAGAGACGGGGUUUCACCGUGUUGGCCAAGCUGGUCUCGAACUCCUGACCUCGUGAUCCGCCCACCUUGUCCUCCCAAAGUGCUGGGAUUACAGGCGUGAGCCACCGCGCCCGGCCAAUAAGCUUUUUUCUUAAAAAGUACUCAGAAGACUUUUCUAUCCAUUCAUUCUGUUAACGCGCGUCAGUGUGAAGAGACCACCAAACAGGCUUUGGUUCAUUGGAAAUUUCUGCUUCUUUGAGACUGAGGUUAUAUUCCACUUCUUCUGACUACACCACCACCAUCAAUCUCCUUCUCUGAACUCUUGGAUCAUUACUUCAACCUGAAACAACUCAUCAGGCAGAAUAGUUGCCUACUGCCCCAACCCCACCAAAUGUUCCAGCACCUCUGAUAUUACCUCACAUGGCAAGAGGGCUUUGAAGAUGUGAUUGAGUCAAGGAUCUUGAAUGGGGAGAUUAUCCUGAAUUAUUCAGCUGGACCCAGUGUAAUCACAAAGGUUUUUCAAAGAUGGAAGAGAGGCAGAAGAGCCAGAAAAGGAUAUGUGACAAUGGAGUCAGUGUCAGAGUUGGAGUGACGUGAUGUGAGAAGGAUUCAACCUGCUGUUUCUGGCUUUGAGGAUGAAAGAAGGGGCCAUGAGCCAAGCAAUACAGGUGGCUUCUUUCAAGAAGUUGGAAAAGGUAAGGAAAUGGGUUCUCACCUAGAACUGCUGGAAAGCAACCCAGCCCUACUGACACCAUGAUUUUAGCUCAGUGAGACUCUGUCCAGAUUUCUGACCUCUAGAACUAUAAGAUAAUAAAUUUGCAUUGUUUUAAGCCACUAAGUUUGUGGUAAUUUGAUAAAGCAUCAACAAAAAAUGAACACUUCUUCCCAGCAGGACUCCUUUUGAAGACCAGUUCUGUAUACAUCAUCGUAUCCAGUGUAAGUACUGGAUGUAAAUAUGGAUCAAUAAUUUGGAAUUUACUGAGGUUUCCAGUGGUGAGGCACAAUAACUUGUAAUUUGCAAUUUUUUGUAGUGGAGAAGAGAUAACCAUGAGUCAGCUCUCUUUCUGCAUACACAUUUCCAUUGCAGCACAAGUUAAAGAUACUGGAGAAAUUCCCCAUCUCACUACCAAGGACAGACCUAACUGACAAUAAAUUCAUCUAUAGCCCAGUCAGGGUUUUCCCCUCAUUGUCCCUGCCUUCCACAAUUGCAGCUAGUUUUCAAAAAGAUACAUAAAAAUAGCUACCAUGAAUUUAGCACAUGGUAUGUGCCAGGAGUUAUGCUAAAUGCUCUGCGUAUGUUAUCUUACUUAAUCCUCCAAAAUUUUCCAUGGUGGUAAAAAUAAAUGUUUCUUGUUUUCAAACUUCAGGUCAUGACUCUCAGUGGAUUUUGAAAUCAAUUUUGUAGGGAGUGAUCAGUAGUUAUUAAACAAUAAAAUAGAAUAUGAAAUAUCAUUGCAUUUCAGGAAGUAAGAGUAGGCAUAGCUUCAUCAAAUUUUGGUUUCAAUUAUAUAUAUAUCUUAUCAUGUCUAUAAAAUAAACACAUAUGUGUAUGUACUGGGUUGUGUUACAGAACAUAUUUCUUACAAUGAGUCCUAGUAAAAAUUACUUUUUUUUUUUUUUGAGACGGAGUUUUGCUCUUGUUGCCCAGGCUGGAGUGCAUUGUGCGAUCUCGGCUCACUGCAGCCUCCACCUCCCAGGUUCAAGCGAUUCUCCUGCCUCAGCCUCCUGAGUAGCUGGAAUUACAGACAUGUGCCACCACGCCUAGAUAAUUUUUUUUUUUUUUUUUUUUGUAGAGACGGGAUUUCUCCAUGUUGGUCAGGCUGGUCUCGAACUCCUGACCUCAGGUGAUCUGCCCACCCCAGCCUCCCAAAGUGCUGGGAUUACAUGUGUGAGCCACCACACCCAGCCCUUAAAAAAUUACUUCUUGGAGUGGGUUGUAUUUAAAUUUUUUAAAAACCACCAAUGAAGUGGUUAAGAAUAUAGGCUUUAGCAACAGGGCUACCUGAGUUUAUUCUCAGUUCUUUAUUUUACCAGCUCUGUGAUCUUGAGUAUAUUACUUACUGUUUUUACCUCAGUUACCUCAUUUAUAGGAUCCUAUCUCAUAGGGACUUUUGAGGAGUAAAUGAAUUCAUUCAAGUUAAGCACUUUGAACAGUGCCUUAGUAAUUAACAAUUAGCUAAUGUUACUUUCCCAAUGUUAUGUGGGUUAGUAAGUGGUAAAACCUACCAGAUUCCCAUUCUGUCUGACAAAGUCUAGUCUCUUAGCUACUGUGUGUCGCUGCCUGAGUGUGAAAUCUAAAGCAAUUUUACAGUAAUUUAUGUGGCCCCUCAAAACAAACAAAUCAACAAAAUUAAAAAGUCUCCCUUUAUAAUAAAUGGUACCAGUACAUGAAAAUACUGGGGAUGCCUUUUUCUCAGGGACUUGGCUGAUUUGGCAUAACCUUAUCUCUGAGGGAAAACAAGUUUUGUGACUUGUUCCACUCUGAAUUUCAAGAGAGGAAUAUGUGGAAGGUACUGAGUGCUUUUGACAUAUAGAGAACAAAGCGAUGACUCACUUAAACCCUGAUAGUAGGGGCACCAUAUAAAUUAUUAUAUCUAAAGGGAGUCAGGUCAAAGAAGAAAUCUUGCAAGAAUCUGGAGGGAGAUCUGUUGUCUAAAAGCUUAUUAGGUGACUAGGGUAUCGGUUUUGCUAGUGUUUGUUUUUAUCUUGUUUUUUCCCUUCCUCAGUUCCAGCAGGCAUUUUAGUGAUCUCUUGAAACACGUUUUGACUCUACUUGGUGAUUGAAAUACACAGCCAGGCUGUGUUGCUUUUAUAAGCUCUGAAAGUUUAAGAAUUUAGGAAGCUAAUGACUGUCUUAAAUUACAGUUAAAUCUAAUUGAUAAAAUCCUGGGACAUUGAACGAUUGAUUUUAGUAUUCAGCUAAUAACCCAUUUAAAAUGAAUUCCAUACUUCUUUCAACUUGCUUGACUGAAGAGUAAUUUUGUCGCUAGUUACUGUAUUACUGGAAAAUGUAUUCCUAGGCUUUAAGAUUUGGGAAGCGUGUGAGUCUAACUUCUCAAACAGAAUUUGACAAGGACGUAGCAGUGUUUUAAAAAGUCAGGGAAAGGAAAGAGGUGUGUUCAGCAUUCCUGCCCCAUCUUAACAUAUUCUUUUUCUCGUCUUAACAGUGGUAAUAUUUUAUGUUAUUUUGGUUUGAUUUUUGUUUGUGGCAUAUGGCUCUGCUGUCCUGUGACUCUAAGUAGAAGAGAAAAUAGUGCCAAUAAUUCUUCAUGGAGAUGCACCUCUCUCAAGUCUUGAACAAUGUUUGAGGUAGGUGGUGGCCUAAAUGAAUGAGCAUGUCAUGUGUGAUUACUUAGUGAGUGUAGUUUUGUAAGGCGCACCAAGGAACUGGUAAUUAACUGCUAGGCAUGAGAUUACCCCAAGAUUCUACAAACCCACCUAAGCGUUGUUAUAUUUGUGAAAAGAUUAGAGGAGCUGAACUGUGUAUCUUCUUGGUCUCCAGUGGGCAGAUACAAGGGGAUUGCAGCAAAGAUUGGGGAAGUGGCCUCCAAGUAUGCAUGUGGAUGUCCUCUGCUCCUCUGAAACAUGACGGAUGGCCAUUGUCUUUGUUAGAACAAAUAAAAAGCAGAAGUAUAUUUGCCUUUUAGAGAGAGCUCGGUGUUCCUUUUUGCCAAACACAGUACUCUCUCACACCUGCCUUCUGGGGCAGGGAUAUUUUAUUGGACCACAGAUAUUCUGAGGGGAAAGGAGUUAAAAGUCAGAGCUUGACAAAUGCCAGCUCCGGUGCUAAUCAGCAUUUGUCAAAUGCUCUGAUUCUAGGCUUUGAAAAGUCUUGAGUUAUUAAUGAAGUACCCACUAUUCACUGAACACUGUGUAAAGUCCCCAAAAUGGAAAGAAUAAUACUUGCUCGUGUCCUUUUGAAGUUCAUGUUUAUAUUGUCUGUUUCCAGGAAAAGUGCUUUCAGCUGGGCUGAUGAGAACACCUUGGCACUCUUUCCUGCAAUGGGCACUGAUUGAGGGUCUUCCUGGUGUGGCAUCAUCAAAUCCCUGUUGCUCAAACCCACUAAUUAGCUCAUUCUUAUCUACAAGUAGCAGGGGCCCUAAAGCUCUCUGAGAAGAUCUCAUACUGUGUCUCCUACAUUUCAUCUUCUAUAAUCUCUUAUUCUUAGAGACAGAAAGAUGGUUAAAAGACAUCACUUCAUUUCUUUCUCUGGAUUUGGAAAGAGUUAUAUAUUGGGAUUAUGCUGUUAGUUUACACUUGCAUUGUUUAAAUUAGAGGAAAGGUUAUUUUGUGCAGAACAAAUAAAAAUUACUCUUUAACUACCUUUCAGAAUAUCCCAACUUUUAACAUAAGCUGUUUUGUAAAGGCUGGUUGUAGUGACUUGCUUCAUAAUAGACUAUUAAAAUAAGAUGCAUUGAAAUCUUGUUCUUUUCUUUGCAAUACCAUGUAUCAGCUUUGUUUUGAGAGGCAAACUCAAUUUUCCCCUGAAAUUAGGAAAUUACUGUAAGGGACUGGAAUGACACACAAGAAAAGAUUACAUCAUAGCAGGGAGACUAGCCAGUUAGAAUGGGGAUUUCUUUACAAACACUAGACUGGACUAUGGAUUAUAAUUUACCUAGUGUUAAUAGUUGCAGUCAUACAUUAAGGACAAUAUGUAUGUUCUUUAGUUUUUUGUCACUGAGCAGAGGUAGAAACAGGGAAACAACAAAGGCCGAAUAAUUUCCAGCCAUUGCUGCUUUGUUUGCACGGAGCCCUUUGAAAUGUGAACUAAGAAUAUUUCUCAGAAGGUUUUUAGGUGAUUCAUAUACACAGUAAAGUUUCAGAAGUGCUAUAUUCGAGGGCAUAUGGAAACCCAUGGCUUUUCUGCUAGAGGAUUGUCAAAAGUCCAGAAUUUCAUAACUAAAUACCAUGAAUUUAGUAUAGUAGAGCACAGAACUAAAGGCUGUCUUGUGGCUGCAAAGAGUUGACUUCACAUAGCAUAAACUAUAGUCUAAGACAGUGACUUAGACAUAAGAGAGAAUAGAACUUGGUAACUGGGAUUGUUUUACAGCGUGAUCAUGUAUAUUUCUAUAUUAUUCUAAAAAUAUUUAUUAUAUUUAUAUAAAAAUUGUUACAACCGUGUACAAGUGUGCAUAAAUAAAUAGUGUAUUUAUGUAGUCUUUAUUUGAAUGUCAGGCCAGUUAGAGAAGCUAGACAUGUAUAACCAGUUUAGUCUUAACAAUCAAGUUCAGAAAAUAAUAUGUAGACUUCCACCUAGUUCCUUUUCUGAAUAAUAUUAUAGACUUAAGGAAGCUAAUAAGAGUCCAAGAUUCUCUGAGUGCCUUUGUGAAUUAUUUCAUCUGAUUCAUGUAUGUACCUUCAUAUAAUGGCUUUUAAUAUUGAGGAAUAUUUGGAGAUUAAAAGAUUAGAGUAAUUCUGAGCUCAUUAAAUUGUAGAUUGUCAUUUCUUAUGAGGAUUUACUUUUCUGGUACAACAUGUUCUUAUCACUAGUUAUAAUGUAUUUUUUUACUUUUGGCUUAGAUUUUGAGCCCUCUAUUCAUGACAUAUCAAAUGUAGUUCUUUAGAUAUGCUGCUUUCUAAUUAGGAAGCAGAAUGUGAUUGCCUACUAUUCUCUAGCCACGUACCUACUAGUGAAUAUAUAAAGGAUGGAAUUCAGGCCGUGGUUUAUGAAAUUCAGGCUGUGUUUUUGAGUACUUCCAAGUAUGUUUCAAGUAACUUGGUUAUGGUUUUGAAUGACUAGGAAAAUGCUUUGCUUUUUUUGAAAGGGAAAUUGUUCAAAAAUGAGAUUCAAUGGAAAACACAGAGGGUGCUAAAAAUGCAGAGACAUUGUAUAAACCUAUAAGAAAUUUUACAUGGAACCAGAAUUUUGAUGCCCCUUAAAAGGAAACCAAUGAGAUUCCUUAUUCAUUAGUACUUUGAAAGUUGGCAGUGGAAUGAGGAUCUGUGGAGGAAGGGACAGCUGGAUCUUGCACUCAGGACUUCUGCCCUCUGCUCCUCAAAGAACUCAUUAGUCACUGUUCCCACUCCCACCCUGGCACCAAGGAAAAUGUGGAUGUUUCCACCUUUCCCACCCAGGCCUAUUUAGGGCAUACAACCCUUCCUGAAUUUCCUGCAGUACAGUUGAGAUCACACUGUAGCCUCUAACAAGCAUUUACCAGAGAUUCAGCGAUGACAACAGAGAACUACAAUAUAAUGAGUAACAGAUAACCACUCCAUAGAUGUUGCAUGCAUUUCCGAGUGUAUACAGCCCAUUCUCACCUUACAGGAGAACCAGGAAAAGAGAACAAUUUGGGAAGGUCUCUUCAUUUAAUUUUUCCCACACUGCUGCCUCUUCUAUCUUUGGCUUGUUUCUUCUUCUCACUUAGGAGGAAGUGGUUCUCAGAUAAUUGACUAAUCACUUCUUCAUGGUCGUGAACUCAAGGACUUACCUGUUAUGAGGGGAGAAGCAUAAUAAAGAUUACAUCAUGUGAACUUUUGAAAUAAAAUGCCCGAAGACAUAAGAGAGACCCUUACCACUGUCACACUCAAAAGGAAAGCUUAGUAGCUACAGAGAUUUAAAAAGCAAGCAAACAAGCAACCAAGCAAACAACAAAGACCUGAAGAAAAUUCCAGAAUAAUCCUCAACCUGUGCUUUCACAUGCUAAAUUUUCAUAAUGAGAAAGAUAAACUGUGUAUCUUGUGGUGUCAGUGGUCAGUGUGGUGAUAGUAGUUGUGGUUUGGGCUGCUUUUUUCCUUGUUUAUUUUUUCCAAAUUUUAUUUGGGAAAAUUUCUGCUGUUUCCAUUGUGAACUAAAGUUACAUAUACUGGAUGAUAUAACUUUAACUCCUAAGAGUAUGUUUGGCUAUGUUUUUGGAAUUAGGUAUUAUGCAUGCCACCUUGUGGCCAUUAUUAAGAAAACACCUAACAUGAAGACGAGAAACAGGAUCAUUAGUGAGAGCAGCUUGAGCUUGGAGCAGUACUUUCCCAAGUCUGUUUCUCCAACAGCAUCCUUAGAACCCUUAGAACCUGGAUAUCACAUUUUAGUGGGAGGAGACAGACAAUAAAUAAAACAAAGUAUAGUAAGUGCUCUGGAGAAAAGUAAUGCAAAGAAGAGGGCCAGAAAGUAUCAAAAAGUUUGAAAUUACAAAUAAGGUACUCUUGGAAGACCUCACUAAGGUCACAUUUGAGCAGAGAUCUGAACAGCAUGAGAGACAACUGGGGGUGGGGGGGGGCAGAAUAAUGUUUCAGAUAUGUACAUUGCAACUGCAAAGGCCUGAGACAGGAAUUUGCCUGGCCUGUUCCAGCUUAGCAAAGAAAGAGGCCUGUGUUAAUGAUACUCAGAGAGGAAGGAGGCAAUAGUAGAACAUGAAGCCAGAAAAGUGACCAGAUGCAGGAGUGACUAAGGCUUUGUAGACUGCUGUAUAGACUCUGAGGGAAAUGAGCAGUCAUUGAUGGGUUUUUCGCACAGAAGGAUCUUGGUGUGUUUUAAAAGGAACAUUCUGUAUUCUAUGUUGAAAACAGACUGAAAAGCACAAGAGAAAGAACAGGAAGAGCAAUUAGGAGGCUGUGGUAGAUUAUUAUUCAGCAAAUAUUCACCCUACUGUCCUCCCCAUAAGAUUUCCCCAGGCCACCAUCACUGGAUUUGGCUAUUUGACUUGCUGUAGUCAAUGGAAUGUGAGUGAAAAGUGACUCUGUACCAGUGGGGAGGCAAAGCCUUAAAAGACCCAGCAAAUUUCUUCCAGCCCUUUUGUGCUUCUGCCAAAAGAAUACUGUGAGCAAUCAGUGCCCUUAAGCCUGGGCCUCAGAACGAGAGAUAUGGAGCAAACCUGAACCUGAACAGCAGCCUACAAUCAAGCCAGGAUGACCCUGCAAAGCCCAGCCAACGAUAGCAAAGCCACAGCAGACUUGUAGACCAAUGAGCAUGAAAUAAAUUGCAUUGAAAGCUACUGAGAUUGGAGGAAUAAUUUUUAUGCAGGAUUACUGCAGUGAACCUGAUUGAUACAGGAGCUACUGCAAUAAUCCAGGGAAAGAGGGGAUGAUGAGCUGAAGUAAACUAGGAUGGUUGCGAUCGGAUUAGAGUCUGUAUAUACAUUUGAGGACAAGAUUUGAAAGAAUUUGCUGAUGGUUUAGCUAUUAAGUGUGAAAGAGAAAUUUUGAAAUUUUGGUCCAAACAAUGGGAAUGAUUGAGUUGCCAUUUACUGACACGGGGAACAUGAAAGAAGGGGCAGGUUUACUUGAUUCAGGGCAUGCAGAGGAGAGCAGAGUUAAACUUUAUAUAUGUUAAGUUUCAUAUGCGUCUUAUAUUUGGAAGUAGAGGUAUCUUCCUAUAUUUGUAAAAAGAGGUAUCCAGCAAGUAAUUUGACAUUUAAAAAAGAUUUCUGGAGAUCAUUUCUGCUCUGGCUAUAAUGGGAUGACAGAGACUACAUUUACUGUGUACCUCAAACAAAUAGAAAAUUGGACAAAACAAUGUUUUCAGGCAUAAUAAACAAAUUGAACCUUAUUAUUACCUCAGCUUGGCUUGCCACCUAGAGGCAGUUUUCGAGCUUUAAUAGAUGGAGGGUUUAUUAGUCUGUUUUCACGCUGCUAUAAAGAAUGACCUGAAACUGGGUAAUUUAAAAAGGAAAGAGGUUUAAUUGACUCACAGUUCCUCAUGGCUGGGGAGGCCUCAGGAAACUUACAAUCAUGGUGGAAGGUGAAGGGGAAGCAAGGCAUGUCUUUAAGAGGUGGCAGGAGAGAGAGAGAGACAGAGAGAGAGAGAGAGAGACAGAGAGAGCAAAAGUGCAGGGGAAACUGCCGCUUUUAAACCGUCAGAUCUCAUGAGAACUCCCUCACUAUCACAAGAACAGCAUAGGGAAAACUGCCCACAUGAUCCAGUCACCUCCCACCAAGUCCCUUUCUUGACACAUGGGGGAUUACAAUUUGAGAUAAGAUUUAGGUGGGGACACAGAGCCAAACCAUAUCAGAGGGAAACCUCGAACAGAUCCUGGCAGUCUACCUUAGUGGAGGGAUUAGAAAUUAGAGUUCAUGGAGACUAAAGUGGAUAGAGAUUUUGGGUGGGGGGGGGGGGUUGGUGAAGAGAGAGAGAGAGAGAUAAGAGAGAAUAUACCCAGAGAUCACAAAGGGGUCCCUUGAGCCUUGGUAUGUGCAUGUGAGAGAGAAAGAUACCCCUGGCAGGGGUAAGAACUGCUGGGAGGCAAUAAGCCAAAUAAUUCCUGAAGCUCACUUAAGGCUGGGAAGAGUUUGUGUUCCCAUCAGUUAGAGUGGAAAGACCUUAUUACACUGUAUUAUAUAGGGGCAUUGAAUAGAAUCCUCAGAAGAAUACCUCAGUAGUGAAGUUAGUAGUGAGGCUAAAUUAGCCCUGGACUAAAAUAUACUCUGGAUUUCCCUAACAAGCCUCAAAAGAGGUAGACUGCUACUAAGUAACAUAACUGCGUGCUAGAACAAAGCCUAAGACUACUAGAAGGGUUACAACAAAAUCUACCACCCUAUUAAGUGAGGUUUCAAUGUCGCAAAGCAAUAAAACAUUUACCAGACAGUAGAAAGAAUAAGAAACCUAACCCAUAAUCAGAAGAAAAAUGUCAAUAAAUAGAAACAGCACCAGAAAUGACAGAGGUGAUGUAAUGACUAAAAUUGUCUAUUGUAAAUAUGCUUCACAUCAUGAGUAAGGUAUAGGGAAGCAUGAGCAUGAUGAAGAGAGAUAUAGAUAAUAGAAGAAGACAAAUCAAAGUUAUAGAGAUGAAAAAUACAAUAGAUUCUUCAUUUCAUCUCUGAAAUGAAUAGAUUGAACGGGAUCAACAGCUGAUUAGAUACUGCAGAAGAAAAGAUGAGUGAAAUUGAAGGAGCAAUAGAAUCUAUCAAAAAUGAAGCUCAGGGAGAAAAAUGACUAAUAGAAAAAUGAACAGAGCAUCAGUGACCUCAGGAACAAAGUCAGGAGAUCUAAUAUAAUUGGAACCACUGAAGCAAGGUGGAGGAGUGUAAAAAGAGAAGACAUAAUGGCCAAAUGUUUGUCCAACUGUCAUGAAAAGUAUAAACUCAUAGAUCCUAGAAACUCAAAGAAUCCUAAGACGGAAAAGCAUCCUAAGAAAAUCACACCAAUACACAUUGUAAUUGAAUUUUAGAAAACCAGUUUUGAUAAAGAGAAAAAUCAUAAUAGCAGCCAGAGGAAAAAAAAAAGGCACUGUCUCAACAGAAACUUCUCAUCAGAAACUACACAAACUGGAUGACAGUCCUCCAAGUGUUGAAAGAAAAAAAACCUGUCAAUCUAGAAUUCUAUGUCCAGGUUUUUGAUUUUUUAAAAAUAAAGGUGAAUAAACAAUUCUCCAGACAAACAAAAGAGGUAAAAUUCAUUGUCAGCAAACUAAAUAUAAGAAAUAUUAAGGGAAGUUAUUCAGGCAGAAGGAAAAUGAUGCCAGAUGGAAACUUGUGUAUUCACAUAGGAAUAAAAAAUGCCAGAAAUCAUAAAUAUAUGGAUACAUGAAAAAUACUUAAUUUUCUUAGUUUUUAAGUCUCUUUAACAGAUAAUUGACUGCUUAAAGCAAAAUAGAAAUAAUGUACUGUUGGCUUUAUAACAUAUAUAGAAGUAAGGUAUAUGAUAAGGACACUGUAACUUACCAUAGUUGUGUUAAGCAGCUUCUAAGAUGCUCCCCAACAGUCUCUGCAUUCUACUGUUCAACUCUAAUAUAGUCUCAUCCUGCAUGGCAUAGGGCCAAACUCUGUAAAGAAUAGAAUAUGGAGAACUGACAAUGUAUGGAUUUUAAGCCUAGGUCAAAAAGAUAUUGGAGCUUCCAACUUGCUCCUUUUUGCAUUGCUCCUCUGAGGAAAACCCAACUGCCAUGUCCUGAGGAUGCUCACAUCUACAGAGAGUUUACAUGGAGAGAAACUGAAGUCUCCAGCCAAGACCCAGCAUCAACUUCCCAGUUACAGGCAGCUAUGCUCCUCUUUGGAACAUUACCCCAGGGUCCAGAGAACUGUCUCCUGACUCCCACAGGGGCUGCUGCUUGCUCUGCACAUGGAGAGUCAGACCAAAGACCUGCCUAACUCAGCCCCCACCUGGCUUUGCCCCUCUACCUGCCUGGUAUCUUAACACAAAGGACAGAAACUUUUGGGAGCUUUAUGCCCACCACCUGAGAAACCGGAGUACCUCUCUUGGGUAACAUAAAGCAAGCACAAAUCCCACUGCUACUACCAUAGCUGGUGCUCUUUUGCAAGUGCCACAUUUUGGCUGGAGGCUAGCUGACGCAGUCCAUUACAGCAUCUCCAAGUUGAAUAAUACCACACCCAGGAAGGAGAAAACUUGUGUGUGACCUCAGCUGUCACCAUUGCCUACACAACCCUGGCUAACCAGGAGGUCCUAAGUCUGUACAUGUGACCAGUUCAUUACUACUACAACCAGCAUUUGAGAAAGCCAACACACUAAGGCUAUCUAUAACCAAGGAAUUUCACAGGAUCUACAUCACUCCCUUGCCACCCCCAUCAGAGCUGGUGCUAGUACACACUCCUGGGAAACUUAAAGACAGGUCACAUCUCUGGAUCCCUUGAAGACAUUCCCCAGAACCAGCCUGGAGUUUACCAGCCCCACUGGGCAACUUGACUCAGGGGCAACAGCAUUCACAGUAGUCUGGCCCUCAGGGGCUCCUACUCCUAGGGGAAGGGAGAGUGCAGCUCAUCAAGGAAACACCCUGUAGGACAAAGGAACCUGGAUGGCAGGCUUGAGUCCCAGAUCUUUCUGCUGGUGGGAAGUUUCUUUCAGCAGAUGCACAGUUGCAAUGCUGGGUUCAACCGGGAAAGUCUGCAGUUUUGCCCCAACAAUCAGGAGGCCCUGGUGCCCAUGAAGGAUCUCGGAGAAGGGGGGGUUCUUCUCCUCCUUGUCCACCACUGCAGACACAGCUGGUGUUCUCCCCACAGGAGCUUAGCAUGAGUGCACCUAUACACAGGCUUUCUGUAACACUUCAGGGUGACUGCAUCUCCACAGGAGGAGCACCUUCCAGGUGCAGGCUUGCAUGAGAGGUAGGGUCACAUUUCCUCUCUACUUGGUACAUCAGCAUUUCUGCCGAUGAAAAGAGGCACUUGUCUGAUCUGAACAGCUGGAACACUUGGUCAGGAGUGUGUCUGGGAGGUGGAUAGCUUUCCUGUUGGCCUGGCAGGGGAGCUGAGAUGGUUAUGGCCAUUCCCUCUGAUAAGACCUCAGUGUGUUUCACUGAGGGUGCCCCCAGCCACUUCUGUCAAGGCUGGGACUUCUGCCCACCAUUGAAUGUUGCAUUUACCCACCUGCUUUAGCUACAGCUGGUUUUAAUCUGUGGACACCUUUCCUAUUGGCCCCAAUCCUGAAGCAUUCAAUCCAGUAAAUAAAAUACUGGGGAAUAAAUAAAGAAGUACACACCAAGGGGGAAUCAAAUACACUUCAAGAUACCUCUGUCAUUCCAACCCUAUAG